rnacentral:lncRNA from 1 species
GAAAAAUGAGGUUCCCAGGCUGUUCACACACUCGCGCGCACUCUCAGGUCAGGUUUUAGAAUCUAAAGAGCUUGGAUUUAAACCACGUCCCUCCCCGGGAGGCGUCGGGCGGAGGGGUCUGCCCGGCCGCGCUCCCCCGUCAUUUUAAGUGCGCAUCAAGUGGCGGGGUUGUGUUGAGUUCUUUUGAGUAGUAAUUGCAUCGUUUUGGGCGAGUUGACGGGAGCAGCACGUUCAGAGUCCCGUGGUAUAUUUGAUGGCGCUCGCAGCCAUACCCUUCGCAGGCUGGAGAAGCUGUCGCCCUCCGACCUGGCGCGGGCCGCUCCUAUCCGAGCCCUGCUUGCCGGCAGUCGGCUGGAUCCCCGGGAUCCANNNNNNNNAGGCCGUCGGAGUCCGAGUUAUUUCCGUGUGAAGAAGGUAGAAAGGCCAGUUAGGGAAUGACGAUGGAUUGCCUACGGAGAGGGAAGCUACAGCUUUCACUGUAGCUGAUGGCUAAAGCAUGACACUAUGACAUCUCCGUGAAACUCGUGAUUUGUAUGGUAUUGGUUCGCUGGAACAUCCAGACCCUGAUCGUGCGUAUAAUGUUUCCUUGGGAUUGCAGUGGCAAAGCUAGGCUAGGUCUUGGAGGCUGGUGUAAGGCGAAGCGGGUGAAGGCAGGAGGCUGAUGGAGAGACUGGGGGGAAGAAAAGCCGAAAUGGAUUCACUGUGCCUUGGAUGGAGGACGAGAGGGGAAUUGCAAGCUCCUUCAGCUCGUUCUGUCCGGUGAGAAGUGAUCAAGCUUGGGCUGACAAGAGGCUCAGGGAGCCCUCACGUUCUUUCGCUUUUUUACCUGCCAAUCAAACUGCUACAAGACAACACCCUGAUCUGGCAUGGACAUCGCGGGUCCAAGCCUGUAGCCCCAAAUCGGAUAAUCUGUGCAGCUGAUAACAAGCAAAAGAGAAGCCAGGCAACAGCCAUAUUAAAGAAGAAAACAAUCAACUCUGAGGUAGAUAUUUUACUUUGUCCGGUCUAAUCACAUUUGGAGAUGAUUGUGCUUUUGAUCUGUUAACCAUGUUUUACUACAGUAGUAGAGAAGUAGGGGGAGGGGUAAAGGGGUGGGAAAACAAGAUUGGAUUUGUUGGGUUUUUUUGCCCUAGGAAAGGUAAAGAAAGACUGUAGUUGUCCUCACUGGGAGCGGAAAAGUUGGGGAAUCGCCGUAAUCUUUGAAUUAGUGAUGUUUCUGAAUCACAACCGACCUGCGCGCUUGGCGCAGCCACAGAAUCUGUAAGACCCACUCCGGGACUUUUCUUUUAUUCACUACUUACCUCGCUCUUCUUCCCCCACCGAAGGGGACCAGGAACCUAGGUCCCUCAUUCUUAAGAGCGGGGGUUUCCCUCCCACAAUUUCAAGGGCUUGUUGUGUCAACUUGCUACAACUUUGGAGAAGUUGGAAUCCGGCUGCGCCUUCCACCCUUGCUUGAGUGAAGUACUGGCUGCAGCCACUAUGUUAGCUCAUCCCGUUGGUUUGCAUCUUCUCUUUUUCCGAGAAAGUAUUUCUUUCUCGUGUUGUUGCUAAUGUUAAUUCUGGGCUCAGCUGGGGAUAGCCUCAUAUUUUCUGUAUUUUUAUUUCAUGUGGUUUGCUUUAAGUGUUUGUUGGUUUUUAUUUCUUCUUCUUCUUUUUUUUUUUUAAAUCCUCACUUUUAGAGUAAUAUUGUACUGGGAAAGGACAAUUAUUAUGCCAGUUCCCAAUUCUAAGUGAGGCAUUUCCCCCCCUAAUUAAUGCAGAGACUCUAAAAGAAUUUCCCCCGGCCUGGCCAGCCAUUGUAAUGCAUAUACGGAUUAUUCACGUGGUAAUGAGCACAUUCGCCAGUUCUUGCUCACACAUACAAAUAAAAGAAACUUUGAAUAAAGAUCCAAAUGAUCUUGCAGGGGGUGGGGAGAAUAUUCCCGGAAUUUGAGCCAAUCAACUAUAUGGAGUGUAUAUAUUUGAAAAAUAGAGAUUAUUAGAAAUAUGUAUUAGGGUUUAGAGUAAUUGUACUGCGCCUAAACUUCCUUAAGAAAAAAAAAAAAGCCCACAAAAUCAGACUAAAGCAACAACUUUUUGGCAAAAUGCUCAAGUUCAAAUAUUUUGCAAGAGGGAAGAAAGCAAUAUUGUAGGAAGUUGCACUAGUUUUGAAUGAUUGUUACCGCCUGCAUAGAACAAGAGAACUCCCAUUUCCCCUCCUAUCCCUCUAUAUCUCCUAACCAAAUGAAAGCCAAAAUAUUUUGUUUGCAAAUAUAAAUCCUUUUGAUAAACUGCAUUUGAGGAAAAUGAUACAUAUUUCAUUACUCAUUUGAUUGGGUGAAAUGGUUCCCCCAGAUGUGUAGUUUCAUGGCUAGAUCAAUACUGAAUAUAUAAUAUUUUAAUUAUAACAUGAUUUCCAAAAAGGGGGUAAACCCAUAAGGUUGCCCAGAGAUGAUUAUCUCCCAAUGCUAAAGUUGGUUGUUGAGUGUUCAGUUCUUUCCUCAGGUUAUUAUUCUGCUCACUAAAACCAUUCCGUUCACAGUCAAAAGGAUGAAUUUAAUGUUUUGUUAACCUUUUACGAUGAAUAGAAAUGUGCAGAAGGAUGAGAUUAUAGUUUGUUCCCUCUGCAAUUUCUUCUCUCCCUGCACCCCCCCAUACUUUAAAUAAAGAGCGUUAAAAUAUUUUGCUGAGCUGUAGUAGAUUAGCAAGGUUUCUUGCCAAUGCUGGGAAGCUGGUAUUACAGACAGUCCCAGGGGAAAAUGGCUCACAUUAACCACUAAAUGAAUAUUUGACAAGGGCUCAUUCGGAGGUAUUAUUACUAUAAACGUGUCCCUACUGGACUUUUCAAGGGUCAAAGAGCAACGCUUCAAUUAAUUAUUUAGUCUGCUAGUAGAUUUGGUUGUAAUAGCUGUACUUAUUUCUAGAACCGACACAUUCUUACAGUAGGAAAUCUCAGGAGAAUCUUCUCCAUCAGCAAUGCCUCGGAUUGAAAUACACACAGCCUUGGCAUUCUAAAGCUGACUUUUUCAUUAAACUUUUCCUUGACUAUGGGGGUGGGGGUGGGGGUGGGAGGUGGAUAUAAGUCUCUUUUUCUAUUUUAUUUACCAUUUUUGGUUUAAAAGAAAAGGAUAUAAUAAGUUAUCUUAAUUUUACAUCAUGUCUGGCAUGGUCUUUUAGGACCUAGCAAUUUGAAGAGACAGGGGAGGGAUUUAUUUCUAACCUUUGCCUUUUCUAAGUGGAGAUGUCACAGGAUUUCAGAAACUCAAGAAGGCUCUGAAUUUAGAAAGGGUACACAUUCCCGUUUGCCAAUAAAAUUCUGGUUUUAAAAUGGAAGACUCUGUAGGCUGACUACUCUGCGUUCUAGUAGUCUUAGUAAACUGGGGUACAAGAUAAUCCCUCCUCUCCUCCCUACUUAUUGGUCUGAACACUUUCAGGUGUGUGUGGGGGGGGGUGGCGAGUGUUCCAUUUCUGCCGUGUCAUAGGUUCCUCCCGUGGCCCCAGGUAGAAUGGGAAGGGAAUGAUUUUGAGAGUAAGAUUCUUUGACGAUAAUAUAAGGUGAAUGAAUAAGAGAUAAGCUGCAAGGGGUGGGGGGAAUGGGAUGCAGUAAUUACAAACCCAAUUCAUUCAGCUUUUCAGAACUUUUGUUGUGGGAGCUCCAUUGACGGGUUUUGAGCUGCCACUUUUCUCACAUUAUAAAGAACUGAUCAGCGCCUCAGGGGGACAAGAAAUACCGCUUAACUGCAUAGUGAUGGGGUCUUCAUUUAGAACCCUUACACGAAGAAAAUUAAACAGUGCCUUUGUGUGCACAAGGUUUACUUUUCAACUGCUAACAGUUUAUAGCUAACUGCUCUGAGAUUGAAGUUUGACUGUGGUUUGAUCGCCUGCUAGUUGGCACUGCUUAUUUAUUUAUUUGUUUAUUGUAAUUAAAAGAGCUUUUUAUACCCCCCCUUCUUGCUUUUGGAGGAUUUUGCAAAACAGGUGCUUAUAUUUUGCUUUGUGGAAAGAAUCUCCUUUGCAAUGAGCUUUAGCAGAGGCUUGAGUUAACAUUCUCCAGCACUUCCUCCCCCCCCCCCCGCGCCCCCUGCCCCUUAUUGCCUUAAAAUAAUUUGCAUCUCACUUUUUUAUACUGCCUUUCCUCACUUUCAGAGAAAAGGUUGCUUUUCAGGACAGCCAUUAGUAAGGUUGGGGAUGAGGGCUGAUUUUUUUUUUUUUUUUUUUUUUUUGCUUGCUUUGCUUUCUUUUUUUGACCGAAGUUGGAAGAUGGCUGGAUGGAUUUCCUUAAGGAUCUUAUCUAUGAAAUGGAUCCCUUAAGACAGCAGAAGGGGAAGAAAGUCUUGACCUUUACUGUGAAAAUGUGGAUACAGGCCAAAGGGACACAGCUUCCGGAGUUCUAGAGUAAGCAGCUGUGGAGGAGUUUUCCAAAGACAGGGAAAUUGCCCUAACUGGAGAACUGGUUUAGUGUCUUUCAUAGUUAUUUUCUAUUAAAAACUUUCCUGGAAAUAUGACCUCUGAUGCCACCCGGGGAGAUUUCGUAACCUCUCUCUCUUCAGAUGAUGCUGUUCAGUUUUACAAUUUUUGUUUUCAAUUUCUUAUGUUUUGUUUAUGGGGCCUUUAGGAAAUACUGGAUUUGACUUUCUUAUUCUGACUAGAAGACUUCUCUUUGGGACGGUAGGCUACUAAGACAAGGCCACGAUUUCCCAUGGCAGAGAGCUCUCUUUCUGUAUGCGA